rfam:Schistosoma mattheei strain Denwood, Zambia genome assembly, scaffold: SMTD_contig0012354
GCACUACUGUGGAGUCCUAUCAUAGGACGAAAUGGCCGUCCAGUGC